AUUGCUUCUCGGCCUUUUGGCUAAGAUCAUGUGUAGAAUCCAUUCUUAUCAGUUUAAUGUCUGACACGUCCUCUAUCUGAGGACAAUAUAGUAAAUGGAUUUUUGGAGCAGGGAGAUGGAAGAGGAGCUUGCUCCGUCCACUUCACGCAUAGACCUGGUACUGCAGUGCCUUGGGGAACAGUGCACCAGAA